AUUGAACGCUGGCGGCAGGCCUAACACAUGCAAGUCGAGCGAGCGGCGGACGGGUGAGUCAUGUCAGUGAAACUGCCUGUUGGAGGGGGCUAACUACUGGAAACGGUAGCUAAUACCGCAUACCAUCAGAUGUGCCCCGAUGGGCUUAGCUAGUGGGUGGGGUAAUGGCUCACCUAGGCGACGAUCCCUAGCUGGUCUGAGAGGAUGACCAGCCACACUGGAACUGAGACACGGUCCAGACUCCUACGGGAGGCAGCAGUGGGGAAUAUUGCACAAUGGGCGCAAGCCUGAUGCAGCCAUGCCGCGUGUGUGAAGAAGGCCUUCGGGUUGUAAAGCACUUUCAGCGGGGAGGCGUUACCCGCAGAAGAAGCACCGGCUAACUCCGUGCCAGCAGCCGCGGUAAUAC
rnacentral:rRNA from 1 species